UUCCACUAUAAUUUUUGAAUGAUUUUGAGCAGUCGUCAAUACUUGAAAAUCGUUUAAAUAUUGAUUACAAACAGUAUCCCAAAGCUUCCAUCAUAAUUUUUAAAUGAUUUUGAGCAGUCGUGAGUACUUGAAAACCUUUUAAAUAUUGAUUACAAACAGUAUCCCAGAGCUUUCACUAUAAUUUUUGAAUGAUUUUGAGCAGUCGUCAAUACUUGAAAAUCGUUUAAAUAUUGAUUACAAACAGUAUCCUAGAGCAUCCAUCAUAAUUUUUGAAUGAUUUUGAGCAGUCGUCAAUACUUGAAAAUCUUUUAAAUAGUGACUACAAGCAGAUAAUUUAUUAGUUUUACAUUAAAUUAUGUUCCAAAGAGAAUUUAGGACAGAAACUCUGUAUCCCAGAGCUUCCACCAUAAUUUUUCAAUGAUUUUGAGCAGUCGUCAAUACUUGAAAAUCUUUUAAAUAUUGAUUUCAAGCAGUAUCCCGGAACUUCCACCAUAAUUUUUGAAUGAUUUUGGGCAGUCGUGAGUACUGUAAAAUCUUUUAAAUACUGACUACAAGCAGGUAAUUUAUUAGAUUUUCAUUAAAUUAUGUUCUAAAGUGAAUUUAGGACAGAAAAUCU